rnacentral:rRNA from 1 species
GACGAACGCUGGCGGCGUGCUUAACACAUGCAAGUCGAACGGUACUAACUGAGUAGUAAUACGAAGUUAGUAUAGUGGCGGACGGGUGAGUAACGCGUGAGCAAUCUGCCUUUAAGAGGGGGAUAACACCGGGAAACCGGUGCUAAUACCGCAUAAGACCACAGUGUCACAUGAUACAGGGGUCAAAGGAGCAAUCCGCUUAAAGAUGAGCUCGCGUCCCAUUAGCUAGUUGGUGAGGUAACGGCUCACCAAGGCUGCGAUGGGUAGCCGACCUGAGAGGGUGAUCGGCCACACCGGAACUGAGACACGGUCCAGACUCCUACGGGAGGCAGCAGUGGGGAAUAUUGGGCAAUGGGCGAAAGCCUGACCCAGCAACGCCGCGUGAGGGGAGAAGGUCUUCGGAUUGUAAACCUCUGUCCUUGGGGACGAAAAAAAUGACGGUACCCAAGGAGGAAGCCCCGGCUAACUACGUGCCAGCAGCCGCGGUAACAC